GGACUACCCGGGUAUCUAAUCCCGUUUGCUCCCCUGGCUUUCGCGCCUCAGCGUCAGUAAGGGUCCAGUGCGCCGCUUUCGCCGCCGGCGUUCCUUCUGAUAUCAACGCAUUUCACCGCUCCACCAGAAGUUCCGCGCACCCCUACCCCCCUCCAGCCCGCCGGUAUCGGAGGCCCUUCCGCCGUUGAGCAGCGGGAUUUCACCCCCGACCUCGCGAGCCGCCUACGCGCCCUUUAAGCCCAGUGAUUCCGAACAACGUUCGCACGGUUCGUCUUACCGCGGCUGCUGGCAC
rnacentral:rRNA from 1 species